GACGAACGCUGGCGGCGUGCUUAACACAUGCAAGUCGAACGGAAAGGCCCUGCUUUUGUGGGGUGCUCGAGUGGCGAACGGGUGAGUAACACGUGAGUAACCUGCCCUUGACUUUGGGAUAACUUCAGGAAACUGGGGCUAAUACCGGAUAGGAGCUCCUGCUGCAUGGUGGGGGUUGGAAAGUUUCGGCGGUUGGGGAUGGACUCGCGGCUUAUCAGCUUGUUGGUGGGGUAGUGGCUUACCAAGGCUUUGACGGGUAGCCGGCCUGGGAGGGUGACCGGCCAAGUGGGGGUAGAGAGACGGCCGGAGGGCAGCUUGGGGGAAGGGGGGGACCUGGAGCAAGAUGCGCGGAGGCAUGAAACAAGGGUGCCGGGUUGGAGAUGUCGGUCUUAAGGUAAUAAACCGCGUUAGACUGGAAAGAAGAGUGAGUGACGGUAGCGUACCAGAAAGGGACGGCUAACUACGUG
rnacentral:rRNA from 1 species